CCUACGGGAGGCAGCAGUGGGGAAUAUUGCACAAUGGGGGAAACCCUGAUGCAGCGACGCCGCGUGAGUGAAGAAGUAUUUCGGUAUGUAAAGCUCUAUCAGCAGGGAAGAAGAAAGACGGUACCUGACUAAGAAGCCCCGGCUAACUACGUGCCAGCAGCCGCGGUCAUACGUAGGGGGCAAGCGUUAUCCGGAUUUACUGGGUGUAAAGGGAGCGUAGACGGCUGUGCAAGUCUGAAGUGAAAGCCCAGGGCUCAACCCUGGGACUGCUUUGGAAACUGUGGAGCUAGAGUGCUGGAGAGGUAAGUGGAAUUCCUAGUGUAGCGGUGAAAUGCGUAGAUAUUAGGAGGAACACCAGUGGCGAAGGCGGCUUACUGGACAGUAACUGACGUUGAGGCUCGAAAGCGUGGGGAGCAAACAGGAUUAGAUACCCUAGUAGUC
rnacentral:rRNA from 1 species